GGGUUAGAUCGCAUUAAUAUAAAUUAAUUUUUAACUCCACUACCACCCGACACAGCCAAUUAGUAAGGUUUGCGCUCCUCUUCCAGAACCAACUGCAUCGAAGGACAAGACACCCGCACCUACAACCUCCAGCAACAAGGGGCCAGAACCAUCACCCCCAGAAGGGCCAGUGACACCGAAACCCCCGGUUGAGGAAAAUCCAACAAAGCCAGCUCCAGAAGAGAGUGGCGCUCCUCCUCAAGAACCAACUGGACCCAAGGACAAGACACCCCCACCUCCAACCUCUGGCAACAAGGAGCCAGAACCGACACCCCCUGAAGGGCCAGUGACACCGAAACCCCCGGUUGAGGAAAAGCCAACAAAGCCAGC